rnacentral:rRNA from 1 species
AUUGAACGCUGGCGGCAUGCCUAACACAUGCAAGUCGAACGAGUGGCGGACGGGUGAGUAAUGUCUGGGAAACUGCCUGAUGGAGGGGGAUAACUACUCGAAACGGUAGCUAAUACCGCAUACUAUCAGAUGUGCCCAGAUGGGAUUAGCUUGUUGGGGGGGUAACGGCUCACCAAGGCGACGAUCCGUAGCUGGUCUGAGAGGAUGACCAGCCACACUGGAACUGAGACACGGUCCAGACUCCUACGGGAGGAAGCAGUGGGGAAUAUUGGACAAUGGGCGAAAGCCUGAUGCAGCCAUGCCGCGUGUAUGAAGAAGGCCUUCGGGUUGUAAAGUACUUUCAGCGGGGAAGCGGUACCUGCAGAAGAAGCACCGGCUAACUACGUGCCAGCAGCCGCGGUAAUUC